rnacentral:rRNA from 1 species
AAUAGGACGUGCGGUCCUAUUUUGUUGGUUUCUAGGACCGCCGUAAUGAUUAAUAGGGACAGUCGGGGGCAUCAGUAUUCAAUUGUCAGAGGUGAAAUUCUUGGAUUUAUUGAAGACUAACUACUGCGAAAGCAUUUGCCAAGGAUGUUUUCAUUAAUCAGUGAACGAAAGUUAGGGGAUCGAAGACGAUCAGAUACCGUCGUAGUCUUAACCAUAAACUAUGCCGACUAGGGAUCGGGCGGUGUUUCUAUUGUGACCCGCUCGGCACCUUACGAGAAAUCAAAGUGUUUGGGUUCUGGGGGGAGUAUGGUCGCAAGGCUGAAACUUAAAGAAAUUGACGGAAGGGCACCACCA